rnacentral:rRNA from 1 species
GCUUACGGCCAUACCACGUUGAAAGCACGACAUCCCGUCCGAUCUGUCAAGUUAAGCAACGUUGGGCCC